rnacentral:rRNA from 1 species
UACGUAGGGUGCAAGCGUUGUCCGGAAUUAUUGGGCGUAAAGAGCUCGUAGGUGGCCUGUCGCGUCGGCUGUGAAAACUCGGGGCUCAACUCCGAGCUUGCAGUCGAUACGGGCAGGCUAGAGUUCGGCAGGGGAGACUGGAAUUCCUGGUGUAGCGGUGAAAUGCGCAGAUAUCAGGAGGAACACCGGUGGCGAAAGCGGGUCUCUGGGCCGAUACUGACACUGAGGAGCGAAAGCGUGGGGAGCGAACAGG